AUGUCGCUCGGUCCUCUCGGGGUUCGCUGCCCGCCGCCGUACCCCGCCGCCCUGCUCCGCUGUUGCCCCUCCCACCGCCUGCCUCGCCCCUGCUCUAGGGUUCGCCGCCCGCCGCCGGCCCCCGCCGCCCUGCUUCGCUGUUGCCCGUCCCUCCGCCUGCCUCGCCCCCCUCCCCUACACUCACCCCUGCCCGAUCUGGAUCUGGAUGAGGCGUUGCCUCCCGUUCCUCUCAUCGUGUCCCUUGUGCCUGCCAUGGAAGAAGGGAGGAAUAAGGGGAGGGAGAGCAAGGAGGAGGAGGAGGAGGAGGAGGAGGAGGAGGAGGAGGAGGAAGAAGAAGCUUCUCUGUAG
rnacentral:rRNA from 1 species